rnacentral:lncRNA from 1 species
GUGAAGGGGGAAAUACAUGUGGCUUCAUCAAAGCAGCUUGUGAGAGCUUUUGCGGUGUGUUUUGUUAAGAGAAAAUGGAACAAGGCUGGGUGAAUUCUGCUAUCAAGAGGGGUUUUCAAGUUUGUUUACUCUGAUGUGCAAACUUCCAGGAACAUGGGGUUCCAUCGCUCUUGUACUCUUCGCUGGUGCGGAAACUGCUUUCUAAAGCUACGGGUAUGUUGAUUCCAGUUAGCCUUCCUCGGACUGCAAUUUACUGUAUCCUCAUUUAAAAACAGCAAUGUCGGUGCCAUGAAGUCACUCACACAGAAUAAAAUAACGCAUAUGUAAAAUGAACACCGUUUCCUACCACCUUCCUGCACUUCCAUAUAUUAUCUAGAAGAUUAAAAUGCGCUGAUUCAUAGUACAGUUACAAGAAAUGUCACUGGUUUCUCAACUUGAACAUCCCUUCUUUGGCAGUGUAAUUUGCAUGAAACUUUUUCUUUCCUCACAACAGAUGUUCAUAUUCCUGCCAGCAAAAACGAGAUGUUCUACAUAUGCACCUUUGUGGCUCACUUCUGAGAAGACGUUAUUGACAAUAAAGGCAAAAAUGCACUCAUGGUUCCACCAUUGUAAGUCAGGUGAUUAAUAUAUUUUAAGGAGGAAUAAUUAUUAAAUAAAAAUUGUGAGCACAUG